AGCAGCCGCGGUAAUUCCAGCUCCAAUAGCGUAUAUUAAAGUUGUUGCAGUUAAAAGCUCGUAGUUGAAUUUCGGGGUCUGUCCGUCGGUCGGGCUUCACGGUCCGUACUGGUGUGAUGGGUUCCUACCUUCUGAAUAACCGGCAUGCCAUUCAGUUAGUGCGCCGGGGAANCAGAGCUAUUACCUUGAAAAAUUGAGUGCUUAAAGUGGCUAGUGCUUGAAUAGAUUAGCAUGGAAUAAUAAAAUAGGACGGCAUGGUUCUAUUUUGUUGGUUUCUAGGAUCACCGUAAUGAUUAAUAGGGAUAGUUGGGGGCAUUAGUAUUCAAUUGUCAG
rnacentral:misc_RNA from 1 species